AGGCGUGAUGACGAGGCACUACGGUGCUGAAGCAACAAAUGCCCUGCUUCCAGGAAAAGCCUCUAAGCAUCAGGUAACAUCAAAUCGUACCCCAAACCGACACAGGUGGUCAGGUAGAGAAUACCAAGGCGCUUGAGAGAACUCGGGUGAAGGAACUAGGCAAAAUGGUGCCGUAACUUCGGGAGAAGGCACGCUGAUAUGUAGGUGAAGCGACUUGCUCGUGGAGCUGAAAUCAGUCGAAGAUACCAGCUGGCUGCAACUGUUUAUUAAAAACACAGCACUGUGCAAACACGAAAGUGGACGUAUACGGUGUGACGCCUGCCCGGUGCCGGAAGGUUAAUUGAUGGGGUCAGCGCAAGCGAAGCUCUUGAUCGAAGCCCCGGUAAACGGCGGCCGUAACUAUAACGGUCCUAAGGUAGCGAAAUUCCUUGUCGGGUAAGUUCCGACCUGCACGAAUGGCGUAAUGAUGGCCAGGCUGUCUCCACCCGAGACUCAGUGAAAUUGAACUCGCUGUGAAGAUGCAGUGUACCCGCGGCAAGACGGAAAGACCCCGUGAACCUUUACUAUAGCUUGACACUGAACAUUGAGCCUUGAUGUGUAGGAUAGGUGGGAGGCUUUGAAGUGUGGACGCCAGUCUGCAUGGAGCCGACCUUGAAAUACCACCCUUUAAUGUUUGAUGUUCUAACGUGGACCCGUAAUCCGGGUUGCGGACAGUGUCUGGUGGGUAGUUUGACUGGGGCGGUCUCCUCCUAAAGAGUAACGGAGGAGCACGAAGGUUGGCUAAUCCUGGUCGGACAUCAGGAGGUUAGUGCAAUGGCAUAAGCCAGCUUGACUGCGAGCGUGACGGCGCGAGCAGGUGCGAAAGCAGGUCAUAGUGAUCCGGUGGUUCUGAAUGGAAGGGCCAUCGCUCAACGGAUAAAAGGUACUCCGGGGAUAACAGGCUGAUACCGCCCAAGAGUUCAUAUCGACGGCGGUGUUUGGCACCUCGAUGUCGGCUCAUCACAUCCUGGGGCUGAAGUAGGUCCCAAGGGUAUGGCUGUUCGCCAUUUAAAGUGGUACGCGAGCUGGGUUUAGAACGUCGUGAGACAGUUCGGUCCCUAUCUGCCGUGGGCGCUGGAGAACUGAGGGGGGCUGCUCCUAGUACGAGAGGACCGGAGUGGACGCAUCACUGGUGUUCGGGUUGUCAUGCCAAUGGCACUGCCCGGUAGCUAAAUGCGGAAGAGAUAAGUGCUGAAAGCAUCUAAGCACGAAACUUGCCCCGAGAUGAGUUCUCCCUGACUCCUUGAGAGUCCUGAAGGAACGUUGAAGACGACGACGUUGAUAGGCCGGGUGUGUAAGCGCAGCGAUGCGUUGAGCUAACCGGUACUAAUGAACCGUGAGGCUUAACCUUACAACGCCGAAGGUGUUU
rnacentral:rRNA from 1 species